rnacentral:rRNA from 1 species
AUACGGAGGAUCCGAGCGUUAUCCGGAUUUAUUGGGUUUAAAGGGUGCGCAGGCGGCCAUUUAAGUCAGCGGUUAAAUCGUGGGGCUCAACCCCAUUCUGCCGUUGAUACUGGGUGGCUUGAUUGCGGUCGAGGUUGGCGGAAUUCGUCGUGUAGCGGUGAAAUGCAUAGAUAUGACGAAGAACACCGAUUGCGUAGGCAGCUGACCAGACCGCAAAUGACGCUCAUGCACGAAAGUGCGGGGAUCGAACAGGAUUAGAUACCCUGGUAGUCCGCACAGUAAACGAUGAAUACUUGUUUUCGGCGAUAUAAUGUCGGAGGCAAAGCGAAAGCGAUAAGUAUUCCACCUGGGGAGUACGCCGGCAACGGUGAAACUCAAAUGAAUUGACGGGG